rnacentral:misc_RNA from 1 species
AUCAAAUGUGUGGGUGUGUGUGUCUGUCUGUACGUGUGCGCCACGAAUCAUACAUACGUAUAAUGCAUUUUAAAAUAGUUUUAGUGCAAUGCUUUAUUCUUACGUUGUUUUUUUUUUUAAUUUUUAUUUUUUCCUCGAUUUUCCUGUUUUCUUAUUCGUCAUUUAUUCAUUUUUUCAAUAAUAUUUUAGUUAAAAUCAGGUGUUGUUUUAAAUUAUUUUGACACAAACAUUAACUGAUAAAGAAGUAAAUGCAAUUAAGGGUUGUAGUUUUAUUCUCGAUUUCAUCAACAAUUCGAGAUUUAUUAUUUACCAUGGUGUUUAUAAGAUAUUGUUGAUAUUUUUGCUGUUUUUUUAUUUACUGUUGUUUGUCAGUAAAUAUAUAUUUGACAU